rnacentral:rRNA from 1 species
UACGGAGGGUCCAAGCGUUAUCCGGAAUCAUUGGGUUUAAAGGGUCCGUAGGCGGUUUUGUAAGUCAGUGGUGAAAGCCCAUCGCUCAACGGUGGAACGGCCAUUGAUACUGCAAGACUUGAAUUAUUGUGAAGUGACUAGAAUAUGUAGUGUAGCGGUGAAAUGCUUAGAGAUUACAUGGAAUACCAAUUGCGAAGGCAGGUUACUAACAAUAUAUUGACGCUGAUGGACGAAAGCGUGGGUAGCGAACAGG